rnacentral:rRNA from 1 species
UAUGUAGGGGGCAAGCGUUGUCCGGAUUUAUUGGGCGUAAAGCGCGUGUAGGCGGCCAGGUAGGUCUGCUGUGAAAACUCGAGGCUCAACCUCGAGCUGUCGGCGGAAACCCUCUGGCUAGAGUCCGGAAGAGGAGAGUGGAAUUCCUGGUGUAGCGGUGAAGUGCGCAGAUAUCAGGAAGAACACCCAUGGCGAAGGCAGCUCUCUGGGACGGUACUGACGCUGAGACGCGAAAGCGUGGGGAGCGAACAGG